rnacentral:rRNA from 1 species
AAAAACAUGGCCUUUUGAUUAUAAUUUAAGGUCUAGCCUGCCCUAUGAGUUUCGACUUAAAUGGCCGCAGUAUCUUGACUGUGCAAAGGUAGCAUAAUCAGUAGUUUUUUAAUUGAAAGCUGGAAUGAAAGGUCUUAUGAGAAAAUAGCUGUCUCUAUUAAAUUUUUAUAGAAUUUUAUCUUUAAGUAAAAAAGCUUAAAUGUAAAUUGAAGACGAGAAGACCCUAUAGAGUUUUAUAGUUAUAUUUAAUGUGAAUUUUAGUAUUUAUUAUUUUAAUUAAAUUAUAUUAUUUGGUUGGGGUGAUUGGAAAAUUAAAUAAACUUUUUCUUAUUAUACCAUUUAUUUAUGAUAAAAUGAUCCUUUUAUUAAGAUUAAAAAAUAAAAUUACCUUAGGGAUAACAGCGUAAUUUUUUUUGAGAGUUCUUAUCGAAAAAAAAGAUUGCGACCUCGAUGUUGGAUUAAAGUAUAACUAUGGUGUAGAAGCUAUAGAAUUAGGUCUGUUCGACCUUUGAAACUUUACUUGAUCUGAGUU